rnacentral:lncRNA from 1 species
AAUCUGGCAAGAUCUUAAAUAGUUUUAAAUCUCCAUAACAACAAAAUUUAUAGGAUAAUUGGAGAUUACAUAUUCAUAAAUGAAAUUUCAACAAAAGAAAAGUAAAAAACGAAACCUAGUCCAAAUUCUAUACAAAGAAACUUUAGAAAACACAUCAAUGGAGCUUAGGAACCCUUUGGAGGCCUAAGACCUCUCCAUUAUCUUCCACGUCCUUCCCCCUCUUUUAUUCUCU